AUGAUAUUACCUUACUAUUAGUGUUGUCCAAAACUGGUGCCAGAAGACUCGGUAAGGCCAGAGACGCGAACGUUAGUCGUCCUAAUCAGGCGUAAAGGGUAUGUAGGCUGCUAACAAAGUUUAAUUUAAAAAUAGCUAUGUAUACAAAUAUAAUUUUUUUUUUGCCUAUGCCACUUGCCUUUUUACCACCACGGUACCCUCCUGGGAAGCCCCCACCCCCUGGUAGCUCCCCCCCCCCCUUUUGCUCUUUCCCCCCUUUGCAAGUAACCUUGCAAAGGCAAGAGAAGAGUACAGGGGGGGGGGAGCUACGCUGGAAAGAUAAGGGGGAUAGCCGAGCUUACCCAGUGCAGUGCUACGCAGAGGCUUGCUAGCAAAGGUUGUUUAAAUAAUUUAACAUUGAAAUUAGUUGUUACUGUUUUAAAUCUGAACGAAUAAUAGCUAGAAUCUUGUUGGGGAUAAACCGAAUAAUACUUAGAGUAGGGAUUAAAUCCUCAGAUACUAAGGGGAAUACUAAAGGCGAAAGCUUUUUAUCUACUAAAGAUUGACGCUGAGAUACGAAGGUGAGAAUAGGAAAUAGGAUUAGAUACCCAGAUACCUCUCACUGUCAACGAUGAAUGGUGGUUAUUAGUUUAUUUAAAACUGGUAGCGAUGUUAACGCGAUAACCAUUCCGCCUUGCGAGUACGGUUGCAAAACUGAAACCAAAAAAAUUAGCCGGACU
rnacentral:rRNA from 1 species